rnacentral:rRNA from 1 species
GACAGAGGGUGCAAACGUUUGCUCGGAAUCACUGGGCGUAAAGGGCGUGUAGGCGGGACAGUAAGUCGGGCGUGAAAUCCCUGGGCUCAACCCAGGAACUGCACUCGAAACUACUAUUCUUGAGUGUCGGAGAGGAAAGCGGAAUUCCUGGUGUAGAGGUGAAAUUCGUAGAUAUCAGGAGGAACACCAGUGGCGAAGGCGGGUCUCUGGACAGUUCCUGACGCUGA